UACAGAGGAUGCAAGCGUUAUCCGGAAUGAUUGGGCGUAAAGCGUCUGUAGGUGGCUUUUUAAGUCCGCCGUCAAAUCCCAGGGCUCAACUCUGGACAGGCGGUGGAAACUACCAAGCUGGAGUACGGUAGGGGCAGAGGGAAUUUCCGGUGGAGCGGUGAAAUGCGUAGAUAUUGGAAAGACCACCGAUGGCGAAGGCACUCUACUGGGCCACUACUGACACUGAGAGACGAAAGCUAGGGGAGCAAAUGGG
rnacentral:rRNA from 1 species